rnacentral:rRNA from 1 species
CUUGCGCGUGUGUGAAGAAGCUUGGGUUGUAAAGCACUUUUGUCAGGAACGAAACGGUGGGGGCUAAUAUCUCCUGCUACUGACGGUACCUGAAGAAUAAGCACCGGCUAACUACGUGCCAGCAGCCGCGCGUAAUACGUAGGGUGCGAGCGUUAAUCGGAAUUACUGGGCGCUAAAGCGUGCGCAGGCGGUUGUGCAAGACAGAUGUGAAAUCCCCGGGCUUAACCUGGGAAUUGCAUUUGUGACUGCACGGCUAGAGUGUGUCACAGGGGGGUAGAAUUCCACGUGUAGCAGUGAAAUGCGUAGAUAUGUGGAGGAAUACCGAUGGCGAAGGCAGGCCCCUGGGAUAACACUGACGCUCAUGCACGAAAGCGUGGGGAGCAAACAGGAUUAGAUACCCUGGUAGUCCACGCCCUAAACGAUGUCUACUAGUUGUCGGGUCUUAACUGACUUGGUAACGCAGCUAACGCGUGAAGUAGACCGCCUGGGGAGUACGGUCGCAAGAUUAAAACUCAAAGGAAUUGACGGGGACCCGUACAAGCGGUGGAUGAUGUGGAUUAAUUCGAAGCAACGCGAAAAACCUUACCUAACCUUGACAUGUACGGAAGCC